rnacentral:ncRNA from 2 species
AAUAAAAUCUUAGUUAUCACUUAUUUAUACUUGGAAUUGGCCAAGCGUCUCUACCGAACACCGUAAUGUUCGACAAUGAGUGAAAGUCGUCUUAUC